rnacentral:piRNA from 1 species
UUCCNGCUGGAGUUGCCUUUGCUCUAAGACA